rnacentral:rRNA from 1 species
AUUGAACGCUGGCGGCAGGCCUAACACAUGCAAGUCGAGCGGUAGAGAGAAGCUUGCUUCUCUUGAGAGCGGCGGACGGGUGAGUAAUGCCUAGGAAUCUGCCUGGUAGUGGGGGAUAACGUUCGGAAAUGGUCGCUAAUACCGCAUACGUCCUACGGGAGAAAGCAGGGGACCUUCGGGCCUUGCGCUAUCAGAUGAGCCUAGGUCGGAUUAGCUAGUUGGUGGGGUAAUGGCUCACCAAGGCGACGAUCCGUAACUGGUCUGAGAGGAUGAUCAGUCACACUGGAACUGAGACACGGUCCAGACUCCUACGGGAGGCAGCAGUGGGGAAUAUUGGACAAUGGGCGAAAGCCUGAUCCAGCCAUGCCGCGUGUGUGAAGAAGGUCUUCGGAUUGUAAAGCACUUUAAGUUGGGAGGAAGGGCAGUAAAUUAAUACUUUGCUGUUUUGACGUUACCGACAGAAUAAGCACCGGCUAACUCUGUGCCAGCAGCCGCCGCCG